CAAUAGCGUAUAUUAAAGUUGUUGCAGUUAAAAAGCUCGUAGUUGGAUUUCGGGAUGGGCCAGUCGGUCUGCCGUAAGGUAUGUUACUGGCUGGUCUGUCCUUCUUCGCAAAGACUGCGUGUGCCCUUAAUUGUGUGUGCGUAGGAUUUGCGACGUUUACUUUGAAAAAUUAGAGUGUUCAAAGCAGGCUGACCGCUUGAAUACAUGAGCAUGGAAUAAUGGAAUAGGACUUUGGUUCUAUUUUGUUGGUUUCUUGAACCGAAGUAAUGAUUAAGAGGGACAGUUGGGGGCAUUCGUAUUUCGUUGUCAGAGGUGAAAUUCUUGGAUUUACGAAAGACGAACAACUGCGAAAGCAUUUGCCAAGAAUGUUUUCAUUAAUCAAGAACGAAAGUUAGAGGCUCGAAGACGAUCAGAUACCAU
rnacentral:rRNA from 1 species